AGUGAACGCUGGCGGUAGGCCUAACACAUGCAAGUCGAACGGCAGCACAGUAAGAGCUUGCUCUUACGGGUGGCGAGUGGCGGACGGGUGAGGAAUACAUCGGAAUCUACUUUUUCGUGGGGGAUAACGUAGGGAAACUUACGCUAAUACCGCAUACGACCUACGGGUGAAAGCAGGGGAUCUUCGGACCUUGCGCGAUUGAAUGAGCCGAUGUCGGAUUAGCUAGUUGGCGGGGUAAAGGCCCACCAAGGCGACGAUCCGUAGCUGGCCUGAGAGGAUGAUCAGCCACACUGGAACUGAGACACGGUCCAGACUCCUACGGGAGGCAGCAGUGGGGAAUAUUGGACAAUGGGCGCAAGCCUGAUCCAGCCAUACCGCGUGGGUGAAGAAGGCCUUCGGGUUGUAAAGCCCUUUUGUUGGGAAAGAAAAGCAGCAGGUUAAUACCCCGCUGUUCUGACGGUACCCAAAGAAUAAGCACUGGCUAACUUCGUG
rnacentral:rRNA from 1 species